CUUUGUUUUGUGCUCAAGAAGAGCGAGCAGAAUAGGCUGAAUUAGAGCCAUCUGUUUAUGUAAGCAAGAGGCGUCUGGUGCUCUUUUCCUCUCCCUUCCUCUGAGGCAGAGUCCAGGGCAAAGAGUACCAUCGCAUACGAAAAGUGGUGCUUCCACAAAGAGGCAGUAGUAAGGUGAGAUGAGACCCUUGACUGCACAGAGCGGACAGUCCAGAGAGAUUCACCACAUGUAAGCAGGCAGCCCCCACACACAACGAGCAUAGCCAGGAUGAGAGGAAGACAGAUCUGUGGGAGCACCCAGGCCCGCUCCCUAAUCCAGACUUACAGGACGGAUGCUGCUCUGAGACCAAAGCUUAGCUAAAAUACAGAGUGGAGAGAGAAAAGAGAAGAGAAUAAAUGUUGACAUCAUUGGAAACUGCCUCAGGCUGCAGCUAACAUUCCUGGUCCUUCCAUCAUUUGUUUAACCUGUGGAAGUCGGGUUUCUAUCAUUUGCAAAGGUCCUUUUAAACCCGCAGCCCUCAUCAUCUUACGAUGGAGUUGUCACAGAAAAACCAAACAACACAUGAGGCACAUUAUUGGCUUCCACUUUAAUAUAACAAAACCCAGACACAACCAAUUUACAACUACUCUGGGAACAAUUGCCGCUGAGAGAGAACUGAAAACUGGAUAAAAAGAACUCCCACAACAAGGGACAGUCCUGACUGCGGUGGAAGAGGCAGAAAUUCCUUUCUGGAGAGGAAAAAAGCCACUUUCAUGAGCUGCAGAGCUUCACGGCCAGCUGGGAGCAAUCCUAAGGGUAUAUUUUCACACUGCAGGCCAAGCCUCAACAAUAACUCCACCAGGAUUUAGAAAACUGGAUAGAUUCUAGAGAACUCUUUUUGAAAUGCUGAGUAAACCAAAAUGGCGCUGGGAAAUGCUACACAUCCUAAGACUUCGCGGCUCGAAGGAAGGAGCAGGAGGAGCAUGGCAAGCCCCUCCAGGGAAGCAGUGUCGACGAGUAAACAAGCUUCAGAAGGCCGACUUUGGUGUCUCAGAGUCCUCAACUGCCUCCGAGAAAAACGCCUGCCUGAACUCCUUCGCAGGGCUCCUUCAGAGGACAAAAGAGAUUGUGAAAGAUGAAGCCACUUUGAAAAAUCCAAAGCAAACAGCUGGCUGCCUGCGGUGGAGAGCGGACAAGAUCCCAUCCUGAGUCCUCUUCACCACACCGUGCUCUAUCUGGAGGAAGCCAAAAUCACCUCUGCCUACACUCACAGGUUGUAAAUUGAGUGUCAGCCACAAUCCCCAGCCACAGAGCUACCCACCAAGUAGCUGUCAGCUCUGCAGCACCCAAGUCAUCUUCCAAGAUGUGCCUCCAGAGGGCUGGCACAGCAAGCAGCGUGAGACGAGGGUUUGCAGUAAUCAACUCCCACAAAGUAAAAAGCUGCCGAUUCUUGAGCUUCUGGCUGCUUUCUGAGUUACCCUUGGCCCUAAACUCCCUUUCAAUAAAAAGGGGAAAGUUGAGUUCCUGUCCGCCUGUGUCCUCAAUAGAUUGUAAAUCAUUCUAGCUUUGAAAUGAAUUACCCAAUGCCUCCAAAAUGUGAAAUCUUUCUGUG
ensembl:lncRNA